rnacentral:rRNA from 1 species
AAAACAUUGCCUUUAGAUAAAAAAUUAAAGGUUCAUCCUGCCCAGUGAAAUAUUUCAACGGCCGCGGUACCCUAACCGUGCAAAGGUAGCAUAAUCAUUUGCCUUUUAAUUGUAGGCUAGUAUGAACGGACAAACGAAAUUUCAUCUGUAUCAAUUUUAUUAAAUAAAAAUUAGACCUCAUGUGAAGAUACAUGAAUAAUAUUGAAAGACAAGAAGACCCUAUAGAGUUUUAGUAGUAAACUUUACCUAUAAUAACCUACUUUGGUUGGGGCGACCAAGGAUUAUUUAAAACAUCCUUAUAUUAAAAGAAUAAUUAUUCUAUAUAAUGACCCUGAUAGAUCAGAUUUUUAGAAUAAACUACCUUAGGGAUAACAGGCUUAUCUUCCUAAAGAGUCCAAAUUGACAGGAAGGUCUGGCACCUCGAUGUUGGCUUAGAGUAACCAAUUAAUGCAAAAGUUAAUUUUGGUCGGUUUGUUCAACCGUUAAAUCUCUACGUGAUCU